rnacentral:rRNA from 1 species
UACUUGAGACCGGCGCACGGGUGCGUAACGCGUGGGAAUCUGCCCUUUGCUUCGGAAUAACAGUUAGAAAUGACUGCUAAUACCGGAUAACGUCGCAAGACCAAAGAUUUAUCGGCAAGGGAUGAGCCCGCGUAGGAUUAGCUAGUUGGCGGGGUAAAAGCCCACCAAGGCUACGAUCCGUAGCUGGUUUGAGAGAACGACCAGCCACACUGGGACUGAGACACGGCCCAG